rnacentral:rRNA from 1 species
UACGGAGGGAGCUAGCGUUAUUCGGAAUUACUGGGCGUAAAGCGCACGUAGGCGGCUUUGUAAGUAAGAGGUGAAAGCCUGGAGCUCAACUCCAGAACUGCCUUUUAGACUGCAUCGCUUGAAUCCAGGAGAGGUGAGUGGAAUUCCGAGUGUAGAGGUGAAAUUCGUAGAUAUUCGGAAGAACACCAGUGGCGAAGGCGGCUCACUGGACUGGUAUUGACGCUGAGGUGCGAAAGCGAGGGGAGCGAACGGG